GUGGGGAAUAUUCCGCAAUGGACGAAAGUCUGACGGAGCAACGCCGCGUGAGUGAUGAAGGUUUUCGGACUGUAAAGCUCUGUUGUUUAGGACGAAAGUGCCUGUUGCAAAUAGUUACAGGUAUUGACGGUACUGAACGAGGAAGCCACGGCUAACUACGUGCCAGCAGCCGCGGUAAUACGUAGGUGGCAAGCGUUGUCCGGAAUUAUUGGGCGUAAAGAGCAUGUAGGCGGGAAUCUAAGUCUGUUGUGAAAAUGCGGGGCUCAACCCCGUAUUGCGAUGGAAACGGGGUUUCUUGAGUGCAGGAGAGGAAAGGGGAAUUCCCAGUGUAGCGGUGAAAUGCGUAGAUAUUGGGAGGAACACCAGUGGCGAAGGCGCCUUUCUGGACUGUGUCUGACGCUGAGAUGCGAAAGCCAGGGUAGCGAACGGGAUUAGAUACCCCGGUAGUCC
rnacentral:rRNA from 1 species